rnacentral:rRNA from 1 species
GACGAACGCUGGCGGCGUGCUUAACACAUGCAAGUCGAGCGGUAAGGCCUUUCGGGGUCCACGAGCGGCGAACGGGUGAGUAACACGUGGGUGAUCUGCCCUGCACUUCGGGAUAAGCCUGGGAAACUGGGUCUAAUACCGGAUAUGACCUCCUAUCGCAUGGUGGGUGGUGGCAAGAUUUAUCGGUGCAGGAUGGGCCCGCGGCCUAUCAGCUCGUUGGUGGGGUAAUGGCCUACCAAGGCGACGACGGGUAGCCGACCUGAGAGGGUGACCGGCCACACUGGGACUGAGACACGGCCCAGACUCCUACGGGAGGCAGCAGUGGGGAAUAUUGCACAAUGGGCGAAAGCCUGAUGCAGCGACGCCGCGUGAGGGAUGACGGCCUUCGGGUUGUAAACCUCUUUCAGCAGGGACGAAGCGCAAGUGACGGUACCUGCAGAAGAAGCACCGGCUAACUACGUG